GGCUCCGUAGUUCAACUGGAUAGAAUAUCAGAUUUCGGCUCUGAGGGUUGGGGGUUCGAAUCCCUCCGGGGUCAC
rnacentral:tRNA from 1 species